UGAGGAAUAUUGGUCAAUGGGCGAGAGCCUGAACCAGCCACGUCGCGUGAAGGAAGACUGACCUUACGGUUUGUAAACUUCUUUUGUAGAGGGGUAAUGGCAGAUACGUGUAUUUGCGUGAAAGUACUCUACGAAUAAGCAUCGGCUAACUCCGUGCCAGCAGCCGCGGUAAUACGGGGGAUGCGAGCGUUAUCCGGAAUUAUUGGGUUUAAAGGGUGCGCAGGUGGCUAAUCAGGUCAGUGGUGAAAAGCUAUGGCUCAACCAUGGUCUUGCCAUUGAAACCGUAUAGCUAGAGAGGAGACGAGGUAGGCGGAAUGUGUGGUGUAGCGGUGAAAUGCAUAGAUAUCACACAGAACUCCGAUUGCGAAGGCAGCUUACCAGGCUUUAUCUGACACUUAGGCACGACAGCGUGGGGAUCAAACGGG
rnacentral:rRNA from 1 species